rnacentral:rRNA from 1 species
UGGGGAAUUUUGGACAAUGGGGGAAACCCUGAUCUAGCCAUCCCGCGUGUGCGAUGAAGGCCUUCGGGUUGUAAAGCACUUUUGGCAGGAAAGAAACGUCAUGGGUUAAUACCCCGUGAAACUGACGGUACCUGCAGAAUAAGCACCGGCUAACUACGUGCCAGCAGCCGCGGUAAUACGUAGGGUGCAAGCGUUAAUCGGAAUUACUGGGCGUAAAGCGUGCGCAGGCGGUUCGGAAAGAAAGAUGUGAAAUCCCAGAGCUCAACUUUGGAACUGCAUUUUUAACUGCCGGGCUAUAGUAUGUCAGAGGGAGGUGGAAUUCCGCGUGUAGCAGUGAAAUGCGUAGAUAUGCGGAGGAACACCGAUGGCGAAGGCAGCCUCCUGGGAUACCACUGACGCUCAUGCACGAAAGCGUGGGGAGCAAACAGG